AGAACUAGAACCUUCCCAAAGCAAGUUAUGAAGCCUGGCGAGGGCAGCUCAAUGAAUGCUGACACUUCCGCACCCCAGACUGCCAGCGUGAUGAGCGUGGAUGGCAUUUCUAGGCUUCUUUUUCCAUUUCUAUUUGCUGGUAUUUCUCCUCCUACCCAGGCAACCACUGACCCGCUUUCUGUAAAUGUAAAUUAUUCCAAUUUUCUGUAAUUUCGUAUAAAUCCCAUUCCCUCCUUCCUGUGUGACUUCGCUCACUGAACAUAAUGAAUUUGAUAUCCAUCCAA